rnacentral:rRNA from 1 species
GGGUGACCUACCUCGAGGUGGGGGAUAACCCGGGGAAACUCGGGCUAAUACCGCAUAACAUCGUGAGAUCAAAGCGGCCCGCAAGGGUCGCGCCGCGAGAGGGGCCCGCGUCUGAUUAGCUAGUUGGUGAGGUAACGGCUCACCAAGGCGACGAUCAGUAGCCGGCCUGAGAGGGCGAUCGGCCACACUGGAACUGAGACACGGUCCAGACUCCUACGGGAGGCAGCAGUGGGGAAUUUUGCGCAAUGGGGGAAACCCUGACGCAGCAACGCCGCGUGGAGGAUGAAGGUCCUUGGAUUGUAAACUCCUGUCAGCAGGGAAGAACUCCUUACGGUGAAUAACCAUAAGGAUUGACGGUACCUGCAGCCGUAGCCCCGGCCAACUCUGUGCCCGCAGCCGCGGUAAUACAUUCCUGGCCAGGGUUAUUCAAUCCUAUUGGUUAUUAACGGUAAGGAGUUGUUCCCGCAUGACAGGAGUGAACAAUCCAAGGACCUUCAUCCUCCACGCGGCGUUGCUGCGUCAGGGUUUCCCCCAUUGCGCAAAAUUCCCCACUGCUGCCUCCCGUAGGAGUCUGGACCGUGUCUCAGUUCCAGUGUGGCCGAUCGCCCUCUCAGGCCGGCUACUGAUCGUCGCCUUGGUGAGCCGUUACCUCACCAACUAGCUAAUCAGACGCGGGCCCCUCUCGCGGCGCGACCCUUGCGGGCCGCUUUGAUCUCACGAUGUUAUGCGGUAUUAGCCCGAGUUUCCCCGGGUUAUCCCCCACCUCGAGGUAGGUCACCCACGUGUUACUCACCCGUCUGCCGCUCGACUCAGGUAU